rnacentral:rRNA from 1 species
UAAUACGAAGGGGGCUAGCGUUGUUCGGAGUUACUGGGCGUAAAGGGCGCGUAGGCGGCUCUUCUAGUCGGGUGUGAAAGCCCACGGCUCAACCGUGGAAUUGCACUCGAUACUGGAGAGCUCGAGGAUGGGAGAGGAUGGUGGAAUUCCCAGUGUAGAGGUGAAAUUCGUAGAUAUUGGGAAGAACACCGGUGGCGAAGGCGGCCAUCUGGACCAUUUCUGACGCUGAGGCGCGAAAGCGUGGGGAGCAAACAGGAUUAGAUACCCUGGUAGUCCACGCCGUAAACGAUGAGUGCUAGACGUUGGGGAGCCUAGCUCUUCGGUGUCGCAGCUAACGCAUUAAGCACUCCGCCUGGGGAGUACGGCCGCAAGGUU